rnacentral:rRNA from 1 species
UACGAAGGGAGCUAGCGUUGUUCGGAAUCACUGGGCGUAAAGCGCACGUAGGCGGCUUUUUAAGUCAGGGGUGAAAUCCUGGAGCUCAACUCCAGAACUGCCUUUGAUACUGAGAAGCUUGAGUCCGGGAGAGGUGAGUGGAACUGCGAGUGUAGAGGUGAAAUUCGUAGAUAUUCGCAAGAACACCAGUGGCGAAGGCGGCUCACUGGCCCGGUACUGACGCUGAGGUGCGAAAGCGUGGGAGCAACAGG